rnacentral:rRNA from 1 species
UAAUCGCAGAUCAGAAUGCUGCGGUGAAUGCGUUCCCGGGUCCUGUACACACCGCCCGUCACACCACGGAAGUUGGGGCGCCCGAAGCCACUUAGCUAACCCUUUUGGGAAGCGAGUGUCGAAGGUGAAAUCAAUAACUGGGGUGAAGUCGUAACAAGGUAUC